rnacentral:rRNA from 1 species
UGCCAGCAGCCGCGGUAACACGUAAGGAGCGAGCGUUGUUCGGAAUUACUGGGCGUAAAGCGCGCGUAGGCGGACUAUUAAGUCAGGGGUGAAAUCCCGGGGCUCAACCCCGGAACUGCCCUUGAUACUGGUAGUCUUGAGGUCGAGAGAGGUGAGUGGAAUUCCGAGUGUAGAGGUGAAAUUCGUAGAUAUUCGGAGGAACACCAGUGGCGAAGGCGGCUCACUGGCUCGAUACUGACGCUGAGGUGCGAAAGUGUGGGGAGCAAACAGGAUUAGAUA